rnacentral:rRNA from 1 species
UACGUAGGUGACAAGCGUUGUCCGGAUUUACUGGGCGUAAAGAGCGCGCAGGCGGUCGAUCAAGUCGAGUGUGAAAGCCCCCGGCUCAACUGGGGAGGGUCAUUCGAUACUGAUCGACUCGAAGGCAGGAGAGGGUAGUGGAAUUCCCGGUGUAGUGGUGAAAUGCGUAGAUAUCGGGAGGAACACCGAUGGCGAAGGCAGAUCUCUGGGCCGUAACUGACGCUGAGGAGCGAAAGCAUGGGGAGCGAAUGGG